AAGGGCCAUUACGAGGGAAGACAGUCCGUGGGGCAAGUCUAUUUUUCCUUGUUUCGAGAUAUGUAAGGGCUUAUGUUUCAAGAUAUUUAAGAACAUUGGAGAGUGUCCUGUGAACAGAAUGAAAAUGAGAAGUGGAAAGAAUCGCUUCAUCGAAUUUCGAUGGUUUGAUAAAAAUCUACUUUUGUUUUUUAAAUGGUUGACUCGGUCUUUAAACUACAUAAACAGCACUCGCCCGGAUGAAUACGUGUUCGGAAUAUCACGCAUAAAUCCAACAUGCAUAGACGCCUUUAUGUCAAUAAUGUCGCGAAUAUGUCCUUCCAAAUCUAUUGUUUAUCGUUGGAAAAAGUAGUAAUUUAACAAUACAGUAGCCUGGAAAUGAGCGGAACUUUAAAAAUUCUCUACCAUUGCUACUUUCAUCGAUCUUCCACUCAAUAAUUAUUAGACAAUUAAAUAAUGUAUUGGGCGAUUAAUGUAGAUUUAAUUAACCGUAAUUUUUUUAUUUAUUUAAAUAAAUGACAAUUAUAACUAUACUUUGUUAAUUUUUUAAAUAAUAUUAUUUACAUUAAAUUUAUUAUCGAUACAGGCGAGUACU